GUAGGUGGCAAGCGUUGUCCGGAAUUAUUGGGCGUAAAGCGCGCGCAGGUGGUUCGUUUAAGUCUGAUGUGAAAGCCCCCGGGCUCAACCGGGGAGGGUCAUUGGAAACUGGGGAACUUGAGUGCAGGAGAGGAAAGUGGAACUCCACGUGUAGCGGUGAAAUGCGUAGAUAUGUGGAGGAACACCAGUGGCGAAGGCGACUUUCUGGCCUGUAACUGACACUGAGGCGCGAAAGCGUGGGGAGCAAACAGGAUUAGAUACCCUGGUAGUCCACGCCGUAAACGAUGAGUGCUAAGUGUUGGGGGGUUUCCGCCCCUCAGUGCUGCAGCUAACGCAUUAAGCACUCCGCCUGGGGAGUACGGUCGCAAAGACUG
rnacentral:rRNA from 1 species